rnacentral:lncRNA from 1 species
GUUCAAUAUAGAGCAAAAUGUAUCCAAAUGCCAGAAAUAUCUGUGAAGUGGCCUGAUUUUGUAACUGCUUUUCCUAAGCUCGGGACUAGUGAGUGCCCUGCAUGGGAUAGGUUGAUUUUCCCUAAUCAUACCAAGAGACGAUGAGGACUGCUCUUGGAUGAACAAGAAAUGGAAAAUCAGCACAAAGGAGACAGAGUUUGCAAAAAACAGGACAUAACCCUUCAAUAUUAUGCCCUUAAUCUUUGUCCUGAACUGCUGAUCUUCAGAGGGACCCAGGAGAAGAUGAGUCCACCGUUUCUACUGGGGAAAAAAAAACAAAACAACAACAACAAAAAACACAUCAAACUGUGGGACACUGGAUGGGUGGAUGGGCUAGGCCUGAAAAGAGAUUGCCAAAUACAAGUCCCUUCCAGAUGAAAAGUGGAUCCUUUAGGAAAAGGAGGUAAGAGAUGUAUGGUUUACAUGUAGGUUUCUGGUUAUGACUGCUUUUAACUGAUGAGUUCCCAUGUUGGAAUUGGUGUAACUCUGGAGAGAAUAUUUCCAAAUGGUUCUCAAGGAAUGUCAUGUAGCAUUUAUUAGAGUCACUCCAACAGGGACGCUUCCCACUUGCUUUGAUUUAGUGACAUUACUGCUGGUUAAAAGCCUUAGGUAAGCCCACACACAGUGGCUGGCGAUUUGGAUAAUUAGCAGGAAUGGCAGAGGCCUGUCUCUUUACAAGGAAGUUAGCAGUGACAUGCAAUUAAAGCAAACCGUGGGGGGAUGCUGGGGAGUUCUAAGGAUUGUAGUGGGUCGGGAGAAAUCAAACCAUAUAUACAGAUUUCCCUUUCCUACAAAGGAUUUCUGCUUGCUUCUUUUAAAAAGUUCUUCCAGAGGUAACUAUGUUCUUUCACACAAACAGAAACAAAAAGAACAACGUAACUCACUCCAUUGUUAUUUUCCUCCUAAUUUUGUGGACCGCUAUGGCCAGUUGGUGAAGCUGUUUAUCCACUGGAAUCUUGAUGAGAUGCUCCCUCAGUCUGUGGGGAGACAUGGACAAGAGACCAUGACUGUGAAGAUGCUAAAAACAGGCAGGGUGGGAAAAGACUUGACAAAGAGCACAGAGAAGGGGAUGGGGAGGCAGAGAAGAGGGGAGAGAAGGAAGAGGAGAGAAGCAUGGACACCACGGGCCACGAACAAUCCUCUUUAA